GAUCAGUGGCGAACGGGUGAGUAACACGUGAGCAACCUGCCCCUGACUCUGGGAUAAGCGCUGGAAACGGCGUCUAAUACUGGAUACGAGACGUGACCGCAUGGUCAACGUUUGGAAAGAUUUUUUGGUUGGGGAUGGGCUCGCGGCCUAUCAGCUUGUUGGUGAGGUAAUGGCUCACCAAGGCGUCGACGGGUAGCCGGCCUGAGAGGGUGACCGGCCACACUGGGACUGAGACACGGCCCAGACUCCUACGGGAGGCAGCAGUGGGGAAUAUUGCACAAUGGGCGGAAGCCUGAUGCAGCAACGCCGCGUGAGGGAUGACGGCCUUCGGGUUGUAAACCUCUUUUAGCAGGGAAGAAGCGAAAGUGACGGUACCUGCAGAAAAAGCACCGGCUAACUACGUGCCAGCAGCCGCGGUAAUACGUAGGGUGCAAGCGUUAUCCGGAAUUAUUGGGCGUAAAGAGCUCGUAGGCGGUUUGUCGCGUCUGCUGUGAAAUCCGGAGGCUCAACCUCCGGCCUGCAGUGGGUACGGGCAGACUAGAGUGCGGUAGGGGAGAUUGGAAUUCCUGGUGUAGCGGUGGAAUGCGCAGAUAUCAGGAGGAACACCGAUGGCGAAGGCAGAUCUCUGGGCCGUAACUGACGCUGAGGAGCGAAAGGGUGGGGAGCAAACAGGCUUAGAUACCCUGGUAGUCCACCCCGUAAACGUUGGGAACUAGUUGUGGGGUCCAUUCCACGGAUUCCGUGACGCAGCUAACGCAUUAAGUUCCCCGCCUGGGGAGUACGGCCGCAAGGCUAAAACUCAAAGGAAUUGACGGGGACCCGCACAAGCGGCGGAGCAUGCGGAUUAAUUCGAUGCAACGCGAAGAACCUUACCAAGGCUUGACAUAUACGAGAACGGGCCAGAAAUGGUCAACUCUUUGGACACUCGUAAACAGGUGGUGCAUGGUUGUCGUCAGCUCGUGUCGUGAGAUGUUGGGUUAAGUCCCGCAACGAGCGCAACCCUCGUUCUAUGUUGCCAGCACGUAAUGGUGGGAACUCAUGGGAUACUGCCGGGGUCAACUCGGAGGAAGGUGGGGAUGACGUCAAAUCAUCAUGCCCCUUAUGUCUUGGGCUUCACGCAUGCUACAAUGGCCGGUACAAAGGGCUGCAAUACCGCGAGGUGGAGCGAAUCCCAAAAAGCCGGUCCCAGUUCGGAUUGAGGUCUGCAACUCGACCUCAUGAAGUCGGAGUCGCUAGUAAUCGCAGAUCAGCAACGCUGCGGUGAAUACGUUCCCGGGUCUUGUACACACCGCCCGUCAAGUCAUGAAA
rnacentral:rRNA from 1 species